rnacentral:rRNA from 1 species
GACAGAGGUGCCAAGCGUUAGGCGGAAUCACUGGGCUUAAAGGGUGCGUAGGCGGCGCAGAAAGUUGGGUGUGAAAUCCCUCGGCUCAACCGAGGAACUGCGCCCAAAACUACUGUGCUCGAGGGAGACAGAGGUGAGCGGAACUUAGGGUGGAGCGGUGAAAUGCGUUGAUAUCCUAAGGAACACCGGUGGCGAAAGCGGCUCACUGGGUCUCUUCUGACGCUGAGGCACGAAAGCUAGGGUAGCGAACGGG